rnacentral:rRNA from 1 species
GUCUAUGCCCAUACCAUGCUCGAUGCACCUGAUCUCGUGUGAUAUUAGAAACUAAACAGGGGGUCGGGCCUGUUUGUUAGUACUUGGUUGGGAGAAAUAAAUGCAAUUUUAGAAU